UACGUAGGCAGCGAGCGUUGUUCGGAAUUACUGGGCGUAAAGAGUGUGUAGGCGGUGUUCCCAGUCUGUUGUGAAAUCUCCCGGCUUAACUGGGAGGGUGCAGCGGAAACUAGAAUGCUAGAGGGUGGGAGAGGUAAGCGGAAUUCCGUGGUGUAGCGGUGAAAUGCGUAGAUAUCAGGAGGAACACCUGUGGUGUAGACAGCUUACUGGACCACUUCUGACGUGAGACACGAAAGCGUGGGUAGCAAAACAGG
rnacentral:rRNA from 1 species